GGUGGCUCAGUGGUAGAGUGCUUGCCUUGCAUGCAUGAGGUCCUGGGUACGAUUCCUCAGCACCA
rnacentral:tRNA from 1 species